AUACCAGUUAGGAAGAAGAGCUCUACCUGCUGCCCUUUCUCCUGGAUGACUUUCUUUUUGGGUAGGAUUUGAGUUUUCACAGGGAGUCCUUCUUUCAUCACCUGGUUGCCUUUGCUUCUAAAGCCCAAGAGAGGAUCAUGCUGUGGGCUAUGGCUCUACUUCUAGCUUUCUUGGCUCCUGCCAGUCAGAGUGCUCCCAACUUGGAAUGGAGAAAGAGCCAGAAGCCACCGGCUUUGGAGUCCUGAAGCCCCGGGCCCCACACAGUCACCCUGAGGAUGGAGUGAUCUGGACCUCAGGCAGCCUUAGCCGUGUCACAGCCCACAGCCACCCAGGACAUCAACCCUCGAUCCACAAAAUCCUAAAUACACAUAUAGGAAAUGCCAAGGGAGCCUUGCACUGGAUAACUAGCCACUUGGGCCUGUGGAGCUCUAGAAAAGUGUCCAGUCCAAGAGAUGAAGCUGAGAUGUGCUGUAAGUGUAAAAUACAAACCACAUUCUGAAGAAUUAGUAUGAAAAAUAUACAAAAUAUUUCAUUGUUCAUUUUUAUAUUGAUGGAUGUUGAAAUUAUAAUAGUGUGGAUAUCUUGGAUCAGGUAAAAAUAUGAUUAAAACUAAUUUCACCUGUUUCUUUACGGUUUUUAAUGUGACAACCAGAAAAUGUUAAGUUUAUGGCUUGCCCCUGCAGCUCACAUUGAUUCCUAGCGAACAGCACUGUGAUAGACAGUUUGUGGAUCUGACUAUCUCCCCUGAAAAAAGCACACACAAAAUAAUUUGUUAACGACUUCAUGGGAGGAGUCCUUGAAGAUUUUCCACAAAAUGUUUGGAAAAUCGAGAUGGCAGCCCGCUGCUGAUUCCAGGUUCCAAAUUCUUACCCCGACUACUAUCACUUUUUGGUGGAAGAUUCACCAUCGGAGCACAGGAAACAACCCUGCCAGCAGCUCAGCGCCCGCCUCCAUUUGUCCCCGCUGGCCCUUGAGCUGAGGGUGCAGCAGGAAUCCGUGGCAGGGGGUGCACUGAACCCUGGAUGAGGUAUCGGGCCCUCGGCCUCCCACUUCUCCUCGAACACCGUCCCAACGUGGGACUCGGGCUGGAUCCCCAGCCUCUCGGGGUCUCUAUUCUCUUAUCUGUAAAAUGAGGUGGUUUAACCAAAUGGCUACAAAAACGACGUCACUAUGAUUUCUGUAUUAAAACAAAUCAUACAAAUAAGAUAUGACUGUGCUUUCUUGUAAAACCAUUCAACUUCUUGAACAGAAAAAUAAGAAAAGAAAAACGGUAUAAUUUUCUUCCAGCAUCAAACAGGAAACACCUUUGCUAGUCUACGUGGGGAAUUGAAAGGGAAAAAAAAGCAGCCCUUUGAGGUCUACACAGAAGUCAAACUCCUUUUCAAGUGAAAAUUCAAAGUUUACAUAUGGCCCAGCAGAAUCAAUAAAAACGACCAGUGGAAGGAAAAGCAAAUGGCUCUGAGGGAAGUGGGUCCUGAGGUCCUUGGCUGACAGUCUCUUUCCGUGACCUUGGUGGAGAGAGGUUUGUCGUGAGGACACACCUGGCUGCUGAAAGAGCCCAACCACCCAACCCCCACUGAGGGUCUCAGUCAGAGCCAGGACCUCCCAGUGUGUGGGAACAGGGGCUGAAACUUACUUCUACUGUUUCCAGAUUUCAUCUUCCCCAUUGCCUAAAUAGAAGAAAACCGGAGGGGCACCCAAGAGGAAGGGCCCUUUGCUCUUCCUGCACCUCUCUGUGUGCCUGACUCCAGAGAGGAGUGACUUCUGCCAGCAGGUGAUCCUGUCGGGCCAGCCCCUCACUCAUCUCCUCAUAGAGCAAAGUCUCUCAUGUUGCCCAAGAGUUGACCCACCCUGUGGAGAUGGACACCACCACUGCUGAGUCUCCAUGUGCCCUAAACCUCCACCGUUCCCCUCCCUAACUCCUGCUUUACCCCUUAUGAGCUCUCUGAUCUUGGGUGACGACUCAAGUCUUCAGGACACGAUUUCCUCAUCUCCAAAACGGAGAUGAUAAUAGCACCUCAGACCUCGCUCUUUGAUUCAUACCCCUUGACUUUAGUGUCAGUCCCUGGGUGUCACCCAUAUUUAGAGACCAAGGUUAUGUCUUCUCUAAGUCAUCUCAUCUUCAGAGUAAUCACUGCCAGAUUCUUAAACUUCUAUUCCUAAGAAAUGGUCUCAAGAUCUUUCACUCUCCCAGUCACUACUUGCUUUUGGGAGUAAUCCAACUAAUCUGUCCUUAAAUGAGGGCCUCAGCAUGCACUGACUGGUUCAUUUCUGCUAUUGGCCUGUGGUAUGUUUAUCAGAGGCAACGUGACAGAAUAACAGCCAUGACCAUCAGUUGUUGAGGGCUGACUCUAUGUCAGGCUCUGUCCUAAGCACUCUAUUCCUCAUAAAACACCAGUAAGUCCUGAUUUUAUUCUCAUUGGAUAGAUGAGAAAACUGAAGCAGAGAGAGAUAUAUAAAUAAAGAGCACAGACUUUGGAGCCAGACAGAAUUAAGUGUCAAUUCUAAAUCUGUCACUGAUGAACUGUUUUAACCUUGAAACAUUUUCCUACCUCUUCCACAAAGGCCCCAUGGGGAUAAUAUGAAUUUAUGGAGUUAAAUAUAAUAAUGGCUAUAAAAUCCUUGGCACAUAUAAAGCCUUUAGUGUGUUUUACUUGGU